rnacentral:lncRNA from 1 species
CCUACACAUAACACACACACUUUUGAGGUCUUUAGGGUUGUAGCUUGGCUUGGGUUAGGGUAUGGAUUAAAAAAGGAAAAUAAGGGGCUUUUGGUUCAGAGUCGAUGUUACAUCAUGUGUUUGUUUCUUUUAUUUCCUCAGUUUUCUUUUCUUAUUUCUUUUUCACUGACUGCCCUUUUUCGUGCUUCUUUCUUUUGAAUCUUCGAGUUGUCGAAUUUUUCUUUUUCUUUCUUUUUCUCGAUUCAUCAUUUUUUUUAUUUUUCUCUUGUUUUUGCACUUUCUUGGGCUUUGAGAGCUUUUGGGGUUUUUACCCCAAACUUAGCUUUUAAACAUAGCUUUGAAUGCAUUAUCAUGACUCUAAACAGGGUGAGGAAAUAUUGUGGCCAAUGGUUACAUUUAUGGUGUUUUAAACAAAAAAAUGGAUAUAGGCUCAAAGGGGGUUAAUGAGGGAUAUAAUAAUUCGGGAUGGCUAGAAAGGCUCGAGGUUAAUUACAAACAACGUGCCUCAGUGUGUGUAUCAUGCAGUGACAGUCCCAGAGAGUCUACGCAAAUUUAGAGUGAUAAAGAAGAACCUGAAUGACGCUCAUGAUGAUUAAUGUGUUUGGCUUUUUAUGACUCACUUGGUUUGGUUCAGCUUUGACAGGAUCCACAGUGCUCCUUAAUUUGGUGGAAUUGCUUUCUUACUUCGGAAUGUGCAGGAUACUCGUGUUGGUUAAGCUGUAUACGUUGCGUCCGAUCUUUA